AGCGUACACGGUGGAUGCCCUGGCAGUCAGAGGCGAUGAAGGACGUGCUAAUCUGCGAUAAGCGUCGGUAAGGUGAUAUGAACCGUUAUAACCGGCGAUUUCCGAAUGGGGAAACCCAGUGUGAUUCGUCACACUAUCAUUAACUGAAUCCAUAGGUUAAUGAGGCGAACCGGGGGAACUGAAACAUCUAAGUACCCCGAGGAAAAGAAAUCAACCGAGAUUCCCCCAGUAGCGGCGAGCGAACGGGGAGGAGCCCAGAGCCUGAAUCAGUGUGUGUGUUAGUGGAAGCGUCUGGAAAGGCGCGCGAUACAGGGUGACAGCCCCGUACACAAAAAUGCACAUGCUGUGAGCUCGAUGAGUAGGGCGGGACACGUGGUAUCCUGUCUGAAUAUGGGGGGACCAUCCUCCAAGGCUAAAUACUCCUGACUGACCGAUAGUGAACCAGUACCGUGAGGGAAAGGCGAAAAGAACCCCGGCGAGGGGAGUGAAAAAGAACCUGAAACCGUGUACGUACAAGCAGUGGGAGCACGCUUAGGCGUGUGACUGCGUACCUUUUGUAUAAUGGGUCAGCGACUUAUAUUCUGUAGCAAGGUUAACCGAAUAGGGGAGCCGAAGGGAAACCGAGUCUUAACUGGGCGUUAAGUUGCAGGGUAUAGACCCGAAACCCGGUGAUCUAGCCAUGGGCAGGUUGAAGGUUGGGUAACACUAACUGGAGGACCGAACCGACUAAUGUUGAAAAAUUAGCGGAUGACUUGUGGCUGGGGGUGAAAGGCCAAUCAAACCGGGAGAUAGCUGGUUCUCCCCGAAAGCUAUUUAGGUAGCGCCUCGUGAAUUCAUCUCCGGGGGUAGAGCACUGUUUCGGCAAGGGGGUCAUCCCGACUUACCAACCCGAUGCAAACUGCGAAUACCGGAGAAUGUUAUCACGGGAGACACACGGCGGGUGCUAACGUCCGUCGUGAAGAGGGAAACAACCCAGACCGCCAGCUAAGGUCCCAAAGUCAUGGUUAAGUGGGAAACGAUGUGGGAAGGCCCAGACAGCCAGGAUGUUGGCUUAGAAGCAGCCAUCAUUUAAAGAAAGCGUAAUAGCUCACUGGUCGAGUCGGCCUGCGCGGAAGAUGUAACGGGGCUAAACCAUGCACCGAAGCUGCGGCAGCGACGCUUAUGCGUUGUUGGGUAGGGGAGCGUUCUGUAAGCCUGUGAAGGUGUGCUGUGAGGCAUGCUGGAGGUAUCAGAAGUGCGAAUGCUGACAUAAGUAACGAUAAAGCGGGUGAAAAGCCCGCUCGCCGGAAGACCAAGGGUUCCUGUCCAACGUUAAUCGGGGCAGGGUGAGUCGACCCCUAAGGCGAGGCCGAAAGGCGUAGUCGAUGGGAAACAGGUUAAUAUUCCUGUACUUGGUGUUACUGCGAAGGGGGGACGGAGAAGGCUAUGUUGGCCGGGCGACGGUUGUCCCGGUUUAAGCGUGUAGGCUGGUUUUCCAGGCAAAUCCGGAAAAUCAAGGCUGAGGCGUGAUGACGAGGCACUACGGUGCUGAAGCAACAAAUGCCCUGCUUCCAGGAAAAGCCUCUAAGCAUCAGGUAACAUCAAAUCGUACCCCAAACCGACACAGGUGGUCAGGUAGAGAAUACCAAGGCGCUUGAGAGAACUCGGGUGAAGGAACUAGGCAAAAUGGUGCCGUAACUUCGGGAGAAGGCACGCUGAUAUGUAGGUGAAGCGACUUGCUCGUGGAGCUGAAAUCAGUCGAAGAUACCAGCUGGCUGCAACUGUUUAUUAAAAACACAGCACUGUGCAAACACGAAAGUGGACGUAUACGGUGUGACGCCUGCCCGGUGCCGGAAGGUUAAUUGAUGGGGUCAGCGCAAGCGAAGCUCUUGAUCGAAGCCCCGGUAAACGGCGGCCGUAACUAUAACGGUCCUAAGGUAGCGAAAUUCCUUGUCGGGUAAGUUCCGACCUGCACGAAUGGCGUAAUGAUGGCCAGGCUGUCUCCACCCGAGACUCAGUGAAAUUGAACUCGCUGUGAAGAUGCAGUGUACCCGCGGCAAGACGGAAAGACCCCGUGAACCUUUACUAUAGCUUGACACUGAACAUUGAGCCUUGAUGUGUAGGAUAGGUGGGAGGCUUAGAAGUGUGGACGCCAGUCUGCAUGGAGCCGACCUUGAAAUACCACCCUUUAAUGUUUGAUGUUCUAACGUUGACCCGUAAUCCGGGUUGCGGACAGUGUCUGGUGGGUAGUUUGACUGGGGCGGUCUCCUCCUAAAGAGUAACGGAGGAGCACGAAGGUUGGCUAAUCCUGGUCGGACAUCAGGAGGUUAGUGCAAUGGCAUAAGCCAGCUUGACUGCGAGCGUGACGGCGCGAGCAGGUGCGAAAGCAGGUCAUAGUGAUCCGGUGGUUCUGAAUGGAAGGGCCAUCGCUCAACGGAUAAAAGGUACUCCGGGGAUAACAGGCUGAUACCGCCCAAGAGUUCAUAUCGACGGCGGUGUUUGGCACCUCGAUGUCGGCUCAUCACAUCCUGGGGCUGAAGUAGGUCCCAAGGGUAUGGCUGUUCGCCAUUUAAAGUGGUACGCGAGCUGGGUUUAGAACGUCGUGAGACAGUUCGGUCCCUAUCUGCCGUGGGCGCUGGAGAACUGAGGGGGGCUGCUCCUAGUACGAGAGGACCGGAGUGGACGCAUCACUGGUGUUCGGGUUGUCAUGCCAAUGGCACUGCCCGGUAGCUAAAUGCGGAAGAGAUAAGUGCUGAAAGCAUCUAAGCACGAAACUUGCCCCGAGAUGAGUUCU
rnacentral:rRNA from 1 species